rnacentral:rRNA from 1 species
AUUGAACGCUGGCGGCAGGCCUAACACAUGCAAGUCGAGCGGAUGAAGGGAGCUUGCUCCUGGAUUCAGCGGCGGACGGGUGAGUAAUGCUUAGGAAUCUGCCUGGUAGUGGGGGAUAACGUCCGGAAACGGGCGCUAAUACCGCAUACGUCCUGAGGGAGAAAGUGGGGGAUCUUCGGACCUCACGCUAUCAGAUGAGCCUAGGUCGGAUUAGCUAGUUGGUGGGGUAAAGGCCUACCAAGGCGACGAUCCGUAACUGGUCUGAGAGGAUGAUCAGUCACACUGGAACUGAGACACGGUCCAGACUCCUACGGGAGGCAGCAGUGGGGAAUAUUGGACAAUGGGCGAAAGCCUGAUCAAGCCAUGCAGCGUGUGUGAAGAAGGUCUUCGGAUUGUAAAGCACUUUAAGUUGGGAGGAAGGGCAGUAAGUUAAUACCUUGCUGUUUUGACGUUACCAACAGAAUAAGCACCGGCUAACUUCGU